GACGAACGCUGGCGGCGUGCUUAACACAUGCAAGUCGAACGGUAAGGCCCUUCGGGGUACACGAGUGGCGAACGGGUGAGUAACACGUGGGUGAUCUGCCCUGCACUUCGGGAUAAGCCUGGGAAACUGGGUCUAAUACCGGAUAGGACCACUGCCUGCAUGGGUGGUGGUGGAAAGCUUUUGCGGUGGGGGAUGGGCCCGCGGCCUAUCAGCUUGUUGGGGGGGUGAUGGCCUACCAAGGCGACGACGGGUAGCCGGCCUGAGAGGGUGACCGGCCACACUGGGACUGAGAUACGGCCCAGACUCCUACGGGAGGCAGCAGUGAGGAAUAUUGCACAAUGGGCGCAAGCCUGAUGCAGCGACGCCGCGUGAGGGAUGACGGCCUUCGGGUUGUAAACCUCUUUCAGCACCGACGAAGCGCAAGUGACGGUAGGUGCAGAAGAAGGACCGGCCAACUACGUGCCAGCCGCCGCAGUAA
rnacentral:rRNA from 1 species